CCUAUAUAAAAAAAUAAUGUAUGGCAAAAGAUUCCCAGCAUAGCCAACCUAAUAACAAAAUAAAUAAUGCAAUGGCAACACAAAGGCGGGAUUGUCAAUUGUGUCAAUUUUCUGUAUUUUCAAAAGUCAAAACUAACCGUGAAACGAAAAUGUAAUUCCGUGGACCGUGGUGUUUUUGUUUUCCAUGCUUCGUUUUAUUCGGUGUUCUUCAUCUGAGCAGUGCGUCGAGUUGAGCAAUUAAGUUCCUCCGUAGUGUUUCAUUUGUGUGAUAUUGUUAUCUUUACGUAUUCUCAUUAAUAAAAGACGUCGAGUUGAAGCAGCGUGCUCCUCCGUCUGCUGUGUUUUUGAGCAAUAUUAUUGAGAUAGAGACUCAUUAUGGAUGGAAAAAGCAGAGUCUGUGAAAUUUGUGGGGUCAGAGAACGACAUAGGCCUGGAUUUUUUGGCAAUUUCCCAAUUGAUGAACAAAGAUGUAGAACCUGGGUUAAAAUUGUUGGUAAAGAAGACCUACUGCACAUACCAAUAGAAAAACUUCGCCAAGUACGUUUUGUGUGUGGUGAUCACUUCAAAGCAAAAGAUUUCAACAAAAAAGGCAAUCGCUUGAAGAAAAGGGCCUACCCUAAGCUGGAGCUUUCUGCACAACCAUUGACUGAGCAUCAAUUAAAAGACUUCCCUCAACAUGUCGCAAGCAAAGCUCCCACAACCAUGGAUGACAGUACUAAAACUCCUGCAAUUGCCUCAUCAUCCAAACUGCAGAACCCAGAGGCAACAACCCAAAUUACAAUGACUUCAUCACCAAUUCCCAUGGAAGCGGUCCCUGCUGCACCCGUGCUAGCUGCAUGUAGCACAACGCCGGCACUCGUCAAAGGCUAUAAAGUUUCGUGGCCUCAACCCCCUAUCGCCUCGGAGUUCCGUCAAGCAGGCUAGCAAAGACAGUGCUCCCUGCAGCAGCUUCGAGUCUUCGGAAAGCAGUUAUAGUACAGGAACGCUUCAGCGCCAAACCAUGAAGAGGAUGUGGCACUAGUACCACCUUCAGGAAGCAAAACCCCUCUUGCGACAAGGCAAAAUGUACUUUCUCCGUCACCCAUACUGAUGAAGAAAAAACAGGCUCAUGUGCCUAAGUUGGAUGCUGCGUCGACCACCAAGGAAACAUUAAUGGAUUGGGAUAAGUCUAAAGAAAAAUUGAUAAGACAACUUAACAAAGUCAAAUCAACCGUUAGGUCACUGAAGCGUAACGCGAUCCUCCUAGACCGCCUCGAAUCGUCGUUGUGCAAUUGGCGUUGAAAAACCAAAAAAGAAAACCCAAGGGUCGUUGCUGGACGAAAAAGUACAAGAUAGCAUGUUUAUCUAUUGGGUUGGUAAGAAAGUAAUGAGCGAAUCAUAACCAAUAUUGUAAUUUUUAUUUAAUUUAUUAUUUUAAUCAUUUAUCAAAAAUAUAACGGCCUUCGUU